rnacentral:rRNA from 1 species
GCGAACGUUGUUCGGAAUCACUGGGCUUAAAGGGCGCGUAGGCGGGUGCUCAAGUCUGUGGUGAAAUCCUCCGGCUCAACCGGAGAACUGCCAUGGAUACUGGGCGUCUCGAGUGUGGUAGGGGUAUGCGGAACUAUCGGUGGAGCGGUGAAAUGCGUUGAUAUCGAUAGGAACUCCGGUGGCGAAGGCGGCAUACUGGACCACCACUGACGCUGAUGCGCGAAAGCCAGGGGAGCAAACGGG